GUUGUAUGGUUAAGUGACUAAGCGUACACGGUGGAUGCCUUGGCAGUCAGAGGCGAUGAAAGACGUAGUAACUUGCGAUAAGCCCAGAUUAGGUAGUAACAACCAUUUGAGUCUGGGAUUUCUGAAUGGGGAAACCCACGUGCAUAAGCACGUAUCCUUACCUGAAUACAUAGGGUAAGGAGGCGAACCGGGGGAACUGAAACAUCUAAGUACCCCGAGGAAAAGAAAUCAACCGAGAUUCCGAAAGUAGCGGCGAGCGAAAUUGGACUAGCCCUUAAGCUUUACACGCGUUAGACGAACGGUCUGGAAAGUCCGACGAUACAGGGUGAUAGUCCCGUAGUUGACGACGUGUGUUCAGUGAAAUCGAGUAGGGCGGGACACGUGAUAUCCUGUCUGAAUAUGGGGGGACCAUCCUCCAAGGCUAAAUACUACUGACUGACCGAUAGUGAACCAGUACCGUGAGGGAAAGGCGAAAAGAACCCCUGUGAGGGGAGUGAAAUAGAACCUGAAACCGUGUACGUACAAGCAGUAGGAGCAGGCUUUGUCCUGUGACUGCGUACCUUUUGUAUAAUGGGUCAGCGACUUAUAUUCAGUGGCAAGGUUAACCAUCUAGGGGAGCCGUAGGGAAACCGAGUCUUAACUGGGCGUUCAGUCUCUGGAUAUAGACCCGAAACCAGGUGAUCUAGCCAUGGGCAGGUUGAAGGUUGAGUAACAUCAACUGGAGGACCGAACCGACUAAUGUUGAAAAAUUAGCGGAUGACUUGUGGCUAGGGGUGAAAGGCCAAUCAAACCUGGAGAUAGCUGGUUCUCCCCGAAAGCUAUUUAGGUAGCGCCUCGGACGAAUACUACUGGGGGUAGAGCACUGUUAAGGCUAGGGGGUCAUCCCGACUUACCAACCCUUUGCAAACUCCGAAUACCAGUAAGUACUAUCCGGGAGACACACGGCGGGUGCUAACGUCCGUCGUGGAGAGGGAAACAACCCAGACCGCCAGCUAAGGUCCCAAAUUACUACUAAGUGGGAAACGAUGUGGGAAGGCUCAGACAGCCAGGAUGUUGGCUUAGAAGCAGCCAUCAUUUAAAGAAAGCGUAAUAGCUCACUGGUCGAGUCGGCCUGCGCGGAAGAUGUAACGGGGCUAAGUAGUAAACCGAAGCUGCGGCAAUGUGCUUUUGCACAUUGGGUAGGGGAGCGUUCUGUAAGCGGUUGAAGGUGUGUGGUAACGCAUGCUGGACGUAUCAGAAGUGCGAAUGCUGACAUGAGUAACGAUAAAGGGGGUGAAAAACCUCCUCGCCGGAAGACCAAGGGUUCCUGUCCAACGUUAAUCGGGGCAGGGUAAGUCGACCCCUAAGGCGAGGCCGAAAGGCGUAGUCGAUGGGAAACGGGUUAAUAUUCCCGUACUUCUUACAAUUGCGAUGGGGGGACGGAGAAGGCUAGGUGGGCCUGGCGACGGUUGUCCAGGUUCAAGUGCGUAGGCUUAAGAGUUAGGUAAAUCCGGCUCUUUCUAAGGCUGAGACACGACGUCGAGCACCUACGGGUGUGAAGUCAUUGAUGCCAUGCUUCCAGGAAAAGCCUCUAAGCUUCAGAUUGUAAGGAAUCGUACCCCAAACCGACACAGGUGGUCGGGUAGAGAAUACCAAGGCGCUUGAGAGAACUCGGGUGAAGGAACUAGGCAAAAUGGUACCGUAACUUCGGGAGAAGGUACGCUCUUGAUGGUGAAGUCCCUUGCGGAUGGAGCUGACGAGAGUCGCAGAUACCAGGUGGCUGCAACUGUUUAUUAAAAACACAGCACUGUGCAAAAUCGUAAGAUGACGUAUACGGUGUGACGCCUGCCCGGUGCCGGAAGGUUAAUUGAUGGGGUUAGACUUCGGUCGAAGCUCUUGAUCGAAGCCCCGGUAAACGGCGGCCGUAACUAUAACGGUCCUAAGGUAGCGAAAUUCCUUGUCGGGUAAGUUCCGACCUGCACGAAUGGCGUAAUGAUGGCCACGCUGUCUCCACCCGAGACUCAGUGAAAUUGAAAUCGCUGUGAAGAUGCAGUGUACCCGCGGCUAGACGGAAAGACCCCGUGAACCUUUACUACAGCUUGGCACUGAACAUUGACCCUACAUGUGUAGGAUAGGUGGGAGGCUUUGAAGCACGUACGCCAGUAUGUGUGGAGCCGUCCUUGAAAUACCACCCUUGUAGUGUUGAUGUUCUAACGUCGACCCCUUAUCGGGGUUGCGGACAGUGCCUGGUGGGUAGUUUGACUGGGGCGGUCUCCUCCCAAAGAGUAACGGAGGAGCACGAAGGUGGGCUAAUCACGGUUGGACAUCGUGAGGUUAGUGCAAUGGCAUAAGCCCGCUUGACUGCGAGAAUGACAAUUCGAGCAGGUGCGAAAGCAGGUCAUAGUGAUCCGGUGGUUCUGAAUGGAAGGGCCAUCGCUCAACGGAUAAAAGGUACUCCGGGGAUAACAGGCUGAUACCGCCCAAGAGUUCAUAUCGACGGCGGUGUUUGGCACCUCGAUGUCGGCUCAUCACAUCCUGGGGCUGAAGUCGGUCCCAAGGGUAUGGCUGUUCGCCAUUUAAAGUGGUACGCGAGCUGGGUUUAGAACGUCGUGAGACAGUUCGGUCCCUAUCUGCCGUGGGCGUUGGAAGAUUGAAGGGGGCUGCUCCUAGUACGAGAGGACCGGAGUGGACGAACCUCUGGUGUUCGGGUUGUGUCGCCAGACGCAUUGCCCGGUAGCUAAGUUCGGAAUCGAUAACCGCUGAAAGCAUCUAAGCGGGAAGCGAGCCCUGAGAUGAGUCUUCCCUGAUACUUUAAGUAUCCUAAAGGGUUGUCGGAGACUACGACGUUGAUAGGUCAGGUGUGUAAGUGCUGUGAGGCAUUGAGCUAACUGAUACUAAUUGCCCGUGAGGCUUAACCAUACAACACCCAAGGGGUUU
rnacentral:rRNA from 1 species